rnacentral:sRNA from 1 species
CUUGGUCAUUUAGAGGAAGUAAAAGUCGUAACAAGGUUUCCGUAGGUGAACCUGCGGAAGGAUCAUUAGUGAAUUGAAUAUGUUAGCGGACCUCUUCGGAGUCCCUAGCAUCAAAUCAUAUCCAUAACACCUGUGAACUGUAAGGCUGUCUUGAAAACGAAAGUGAUUAGAGCGCCUGCCCAUUUUAUACAAACAUUAAAGUAACAAACGUAGUCUUAUUAUAAUCUAAUAAAACUUUCAACAACGGAUCUCUUGGCUCUCGCAUCGAUGAAGAACGCAGCGAAAUGCGAUAAGUAAUGUGAAUUGCAGAAUUCAGUGAAUCAUCGAAUCUUUGAACGCACCUUGCGCUCUUUGGUAUUCCGAAGAGCAUGCCUGUUUGAGUGUCAUGAAAAUAUCAACCUUGACUUGGGUUUAGUGCUCUUGUCUUGGCUUGGAUUUGGCUGUUUGCCGCUCGAAAGAGUCGGCUCAGCUUAAAAGUAUUAGCUGGAUCUGUCUUUGAGACUUGGUUUGACUUGGCGUAAUAAGUUAUUUCGCUGAGGACAAUCUUCGGAUUGGCCGAGUUUCUGGGACGUUUGUCCGCUUUCUAAUACAAGUUCUAGCUUGCUAGACAUGACUUUUUUAUUAUCUGGCCUCAAAUCAGGUAGGACUACCCGCUGAACUUAAGCAUAUCAAUAAGCGGAGGAAAAGAAACUAACAAGGAUUCCCCUAGUAACGGCGAGUGAAGCGGGAAGAGCUCAAAUUUGAAAUCUGGUGGCCUCAGGCUAUCCGAGUUGUAAUCUAUAGAAACAUUUUCCGCGUUGGCCCAUGUACAAGUCUCUUGGAAUAGAGCGUCAUAGAGGGUGAGAAUCCCGUCCUUGACAUGGACUACCAGUGCUUUGUGAUAUGUUUUCAACGAGUCGAGUUGUUUGGGAAU